GCAUUACGCACAGCAAAUAAGCCAAUCAGAGCCGAGUACGGUGAGCGAUUGAUUUUUCUGCUAUUGGCUAAUCGUCCUGAAUGCUAAGGAAACGAAAACUAGCACGUGGGUUAGAUAAUUCAGUAGGCGACCUCCAAAAAAUAAUUUAUUUCAGUACUUUACUGUUAUCUUUGGUGAUUAAAAACUCAUAUUAUUGGGUAAAAAUUAGAAUGUACUAUUCAGCUUGCUAUUAAGCAGGAAGACAAGCUUUCUAAUGACGGACAAGGAAGAUGAUGACUCCCAGCACAGAGCGAAUGAGGGUGACUCCGUUGUACUGAAACGGGGAGACAUCUAACGUUACAAAGCUGCGGAUUCAAAAGAAAAAGUUAGUCGUUACACAACUGUGCUCAUGCACAAUCACAUUAUCUAUUGGUGUGCAUUAGCUAACAAUGCUUGACAGUCAGGUCAAAUAUUUGCCUGUACUACCAACAUGCAAGCUAUGUGCCCGACCUCACUAAUGCUCUUGUAGCUGAAUGGAAGCAAGUCCCAGCAUCACUGUACCAACAUCUAGUGGAAAGCCUUCCCAGAAGAGUGGAGGCUGUUAUAGCAGCAACAGGCGGACCAACUCCAUAUCAAUGACCAUGAUUUUGGAAUGAGAUGUUUGACAAGCAGGUGUCCACAUACACUACAUAACCACAAAUGCUGGACAGGCCAAUGGAGAUAAGUCCAACCUGACCCAGAGAAAGCAGAAGGCAAUGGGGGCAGCCCAGACACAGAGGACCAGAGCAUGGAGACUAGUACCAGUACAGACCCUGCCGAGGACAAGGAGAGGGAGAAACAGAGAGAGAUCAGAGCCCAGGAGAAGAUGGAGAAGAGGAAGAAACUGCUGCUGCUGCAGGCCUUCUUCCAUCCUCCCUCCUUUGAAGUACUCACUAAUCUCACCAAAUUGGUUAGGUUGGUGAUAGCCAGUCGGUUUAACCCCUGUCCAGUUCUACUGGGCCUCAUCAAGUUCCUCGCCCCCUCCUCCUCGACCCUUUGCAGUGUACUCUCAAUAUAAAGAGGUAUGUAUCUGAGUGUUCUCUAGUAUGCUUCCUAGUGUGCUCUAGUGUGUGUGUUGUGUAUUUAAUAAGCAUAUUACUGU
rnacentral:lncRNA from 1 species